rnacentral:rRNA from 1 species
AGUGAACGCUGGCGGCAGGCCUAACACAUGCAAGUCGAGCGGCAGCGCGGGGGCAACCCUGGCGGCGAGCGGCGGACGGGUGAGGAAUGCAUCGGAAUCUACCUCGUUGUGGGGGAUAACCUCGGGAAACCGGGACUAAUACCGCAUACGACCUACGGGUGAAAGUGGGGGACCUUCGGGCCUCACGCGAUGAGAUGAGCCGAUGCCGGAUUAGCUAGUUGGCGGGGUAAAGGCCCACCAAGGCGACGAUCCGUAGCUGGUCUGAGAGGAUGAUCAGCCACACUGGAACUGAGACACGGUCCAGACUCCUACGGGAGGCAGCAGUGGGGAAUAUUGGACAAUGGGCGCAAGCCUGACCCAGCAACGCCGCGUGAGGGAAGAAGGUUUUCGGAUUGUAAACCUCUGUCGCAGAUGACGAAACAAAUAGACGGUAAUCUGUGAGGAAGCCCCGGCUAACUACGUG